rnacentral:lncRNA from 1 species
ACGUUCGGGAGAAGGUGGCGGCGUCUCCUGGGCCUCCGCCUCCUGCAUCUCUGAAACCAGUGAGCACUGGAGAAGAGGGGUUAAUAAGACCUAUGUGGAAAUAACUCUUUAAUCAUCAAGGUUGCUUGUAGGAGCAUUGGGAUAGAUCCAGAUGUCAAGAAAACACUUAAGAAUUCUGGUAGGGGGAAAAAAAAAAGAAUUCUGGUAGGAAUACAAAUCCAUCUCACCCGUUUGGAUUUCUCAGGGCGGAAGAAAUUUCAUCUCAAGGACUUGCUGAAAACAUGUUCAAAAUGUUGAGGAGGCCACGUGAUAAAGGUUUUCAUAAAUAUUUCCUCAAACCAGAUGGCAAUGAUUCAGGGUAAAGAAGCCCUUUGAAAAUCACUGUUCUGGGUUUUACUAAUAACCUGACCCAUUCAGAAGAUGUGGGAGUUCACUUCAGGAAGCUACUGGGAAAAAUAAAAUUUGUUGAGUGAAUACCUACA